GACGAACGCUGGCGGCGUGCUUAACACAUGCAAGUCGAACGGAAAGGCCCUGCUUUUGUUGGUUUCUCGAGUGGCGAACGCGUGAGUAACACGUGAGUAACCUGCCCUUGACUUUGUGAUAACUUCUGGAAACUGGGGCUAAUACCGGAUAUGAUCUCCUGCUGCAUGUUGUGGGUUGGAAAGUUUCGGCGGUUGUGGAUGGACUCGCGGCUUAUCAGCUUGUUGGUGGGGUAGUUGCUUACCAAGGCUUUGACGGGUAGCCGGCCUGAGAGGGUGAACGGCGACAAUGGGACUGAGAGACGGAGCAGAAGCGUACGGGAGGCAGCAGUGGGGAAUAUUGCACAAUGGGCGGAAGCCUGAUGCAGCAACGCCGCGUGCGGGAUGACGGCCUUCGGGUGGUAAACAGCUUUCGACGGUGAUGAAGAGUGAGUGACGGUAAUGGGUAAAGAAGCACCGGCUAACUACGUG
rnacentral:rRNA from 1 species